rnacentral:piRNA from 1 species
UCCCACGUGAUAUCAGUCUUCCUGGAAGUG